rnacentral:misc_RNA from 1 species
UUUCCGUAGGUGAACCUGCGGAAGGAUCAUUAUUGUAUAACCGAGGUGCGCGGGCUGUCGCUGACCCGAAAGGUCGUGCACGCCCGAGUACCCUCACACACAUCCAUCUCACCCCUAUGUGCACCACCGCGUGGGUCCCCCUUUGGCUUGUUCGGAGGGGGGCUUACGUUUUCACACAAACUCUGUAUGCAGUGUAGAAUGUAUUUUUUGUUUUUGCGAUCACGCAAUCAAUACAACUUUCAACAACGGAUCUCUUGGCUCUC